CACGGGGGUUGCGAGCGUUGUCCGGAAUUACUAGGCGUAAAGUGCAGGCAGGCGGAUCCAUAAGUUUAUCGUUUAAGGCGUCGGCUUAACCGGCGUAGGGCGGUAGAUACUGUGGAUCUGGAAUGCGGUUGGGGAAGACAGAAUUCCUGGUGUGGCGGUGGAAUGCGCAGAGAUCAGGAGGAAUACCGAAGGCGAAGGCAGUCUUCCAAGCCGUUAUUGACGCUCAACUGCGAAGGUGUGGGUAUCAAACAGGAUUAGAUACCCUGGUAGUCCCU
rnacentral:rRNA from 1 species